rnacentral:rRNA from 1 species
CCUACGGGGUGCAGCAGUCGAGAAUCAUUCACAAUGGGGGAAACCCUGAUGGUGCGACGCCGCGUGGGGGAAUGAAGGUCUUCGGAUUGUAAACCCCUGUCAUGUGGGAGCAAAUUAAAAAGAUAGUACCACAAGAGGAAGAGACGGCUAACUCUGUGCCAGCAGCCGCGGUACUACAGAGGUCUCAAGCGUUGUUCGGAAUCACUGGGCGUAAAGCGUGCGUAGGCUGUUUCGUAAGUCGUGUGUGAAAGGCGCGGGCUCAACCCGCGGACGGCACAUGAUACUGCGAGACUAGAGUAAUGGAGGGGGAACCGGAAUUCUCGGUGUAGCAGUGAAAUGCGUAGAUAUCGAGAGGAACACUCGUGGCGAAGGCGGGUUCCUGGACAUUAACUGACGCUGAGGCACGAAGGCCAGGGGAGCGAAAGGGAUUAGAUACCCGGGUAGUC